rnacentral:tRNA from 1 species
GGCGGGAUAGAGCAGCAGGAAGCUCGCCAGCCCCAUAAGCUGGAGGCCGCAGGUUCGAACCCUGCUCCCGCUACCA